rnacentral:tRNA from 1 species
UCCCUGGCAGUCCAGUGGUUAAGCCUCUGCACUUCCAAUGCAGGGGGUGUGGGUUUGAUCCCUGAUCAGGGAA